GGCUUAUCAAAGAAUUUCAAAGAAUAAAGAAUAUUUACAAGAAUAGGGUUAGGAACUUUCUAGAAACCAUAAGGCUUUUUUGGGUUGUGUAUAAGGUCAUCAUAUGAGGGGCGAGGCCGGAUAUCAGAGUCUGUUUAUCGUUUGAUGCCCUUGAUGGUCGAUAUGCGCGAUGUCAUCGAGUCAGCGCAGCGAACGAGGGACAUUUAUGAUUUUUAUUUAUUUUAUUUUAUUUAUUUAUUCAUUUUGUCAAACACAUAAAAGAUAUAUAUUUACAUAGAGAUAUAACAAUAACAAUAACAAUAACUAGAAAAUGCUGUGACAGGAGAAGAAAACAGAAACUAAAUUCCAAUCGAUAUUCGACCCCUUAACAAUUAUAAUGGAUAACGAGACGUACUAAGACAAUUAUGUACGAACAUAUCACAGAUUACAUGCAACUUAACAUAUAGGGUACUCGUAUUAUAAAGAUUAAUGCCCAGCAUAACGUACGAAAGAGAGCCAUAUAGACGAUAAUAUAGAUCUUAUCAUCAUGUUCCUCUCCAGAUGAACUUCUCGUCCGUGAAAGUCUUCUCAUCUCAAAGCUCAAACCUACUUUGAAUCAGCUAGGUAGCUCCAUUCUUCUCUCACUCCUCUGACUUCUCUCCUUUAACCCCCUCC